rnacentral:rRNA from 1 species
ACGGGAGGCAGCAGUGGGGAAUAUUGCACAAUGGGCGCAAGCCUGAUGCAGCCAUGCCGCGUGUAUGAAGAAGGCCUUCGGGUUGUAAAGUACUUUCAGCGGGGAGGAAGGGAGUAAAGUUAAUACCUUUGCUCAUUGACGUUACCCGCAGAAGAAGCACCGGCUAACUCCGUGCCAGCAGCCGCGGUAAUACGGAGGGUGCAAGCGUUGUUCGGAAUUACUGGGCGUAAAGCGCGCGUAGGCGGUUUGUUAAGUCAGAUGUGAAAUCCCCGGGCUCAACCUGGGAACUGCAUUUGAUACUGGCAAGCUUGAGUCUCGUAGAGGGGGGUAGAAUUCCAGGUGUAGCGGUGAAAUGCGUAGA